AACCCCUUUGCAUUACAUCUGCCUGUCAGGGUUGGCUCUUUAAUCUGUCGUGCCCUCGGUAUUGCUCUUUGUCUGCCCGUGAAUAAAGUGCAGCAUUGUGUGAGUAACCACACUGGCCGCAUCAAGGUGGUCUUUACUCCGAGCAUCUGUAAAGUGACCUGCACCAAGGGCAGCUGUCAGAACAGCUGUGAGAAGGGGAACACCACCACUCUCAUUAGUGAGAAUGGUCAUGCUGCCGACACCCUGACGGCCACGAACUUCCGAGUGGUAAUUUGCCAUCUUCCAUGUAUGAAUGGUGGCCAGUGCAGUUCAAGGGACAAAUGUCAGUGCCCUCCAAAUUUCACAGGAAAACUUUGUCAGAUCCCAGUCCAUGGUGCCAGCGUGCCUAAACUUUAUCAGCAUUCCCAGCAGCCAGGCAAGGCGUUGGGGACGCAUGUCAUCCAUUCAACACAUACCUUGCCUCUGACCGUGACUAGCCAGCAAGGAGUCAAAGUGAAAUUUCCUCCUAACAUAGUCAAUAUCCAUGUGAAACAUCCUCCUGAAGCUUCCGUCCAGAUACAUCAGGUUUCAAGAAUUGAUGGCCCAACAGGCCA
rnacentral:lncRNA from 1 species